rnacentral:misc_RNA from 1 species
AUUUAAGGCAUUUUCCUCUUUUGCUUUUUCUUCUGCUUUCUGCUGGUGGUCUUCAUCCUGCCCUGAUUACAUGGACCUCUGGUGUUAUGCCUCGUCCCAAAUUUACGUGGGAAACUACUAUAAAGUGUUUAUAUUUAUCUAAUCUUCUCAUAGAUAAUUGAAAACUAAGUUAUAUCGGCAAAACUUAUGCAUGGAGCAGCAGAUUAUUUCUAAAGUUUCUAGAGCAGCAGUGGCCACUGCAUGGGAACAUCGCGGGUCAUCACGGGAAGGAUAUACGCAUCAGCAAAACCACAAGGACAAAGGUUUUGAACAAAAU